rnacentral:rRNA from 1 species
UAUUUAGGAAAAAAAGCUUGAGAGGAAAUGAUUAAGCCCUGAUUGUACUAAAUGAAUAAGUGACAGCUAACUAUGUGCCAGCAGCUGCGGUAAAACAUAGGUCACGAGCAUUAUCCGGAUUUAUUGGGCGUAAAGGAAGCGUAGGCGGACAAAUUGAUCUAUUGUUAAAGGCACUUGCUCAACGAGUUGUUUGUGAUAGAUAUCGUUUGUCUAGAAUUAGUUAGGAGAUACUGGAAUUCAAUGUGUAGCGGUGGAAUGCGUAGAUAUAUUGAGGAACACCAGAGGCUAAGGCGAGUAUCUAGGACAUAAUUGACGCUGAGGCUUGAAAGCGUGGGGAGCAAAUGGGAUUAGAUACCCCAGUAGUCCACGCCGUAAACGAUGGGUAUUAGGUAUUUGGUUUAGGACUGAGUGCUGUAGCUAACGCGUUAAAUACCCCGCCUGGGUAGUAUA